GACAGAGGUGCCGAGCGUUAGGCGGAAUCACUGGGCUUAAAGCGUGUGUAGGCGGGCCGUUAAGUGCCCCGUGAAAUCCCCCGGCUCAACCGGGGAACGGCGGGGCAUACUGGCGGCCUUGAGCCACUUAAGGGGCAGACGGAACAAGCGGUGGAGCGGUGAAAUGCGUAGAUAUCGCUUGGAACGCCGACGGCGAAAGCAGUCUGCUGGGGGUGUGCUGACGCUGGAGACACGAAAGCCAGGGGAGCGAACGGG
rnacentral:rRNA from 1 species